CUGAGUCUGGCCACAACCAGUGUCCUCCAGAUGGAAUGCUCUUUGGCCCCCCAAAUGUGAGGUCACUGGAGAUGUGAGCCUGGUCUUGGGACCAGCUGGGCAGGUAGCAUACAGGUUUGGUGACCGGCCAUGAGAUAAGGUUGGUGGGCUUGAGGGGCAUAGGUGCAGAUCUAAAGGGGGGCAGUAGCCCUCUGGGCUCAGGAGAGGGAGCUGGCAGGCUGCCAGCUUCUUGCUGGCCCCAGAUGAGUCCAGGGGGCCCAUAGGAUAUUGGAUGGGUGAGUAGGCUGCCCCCGCCCUUCAGUCCCAAUCUUCUGGCCCCGAAGCCAGGGAGUGUCCAGUGAACUCACAUGCCCCAACAAGGUCCUGGGCAGACUGAACACUGGCAUCUGUCCUUCUACUCUCAGACAUGGGCCAGGGCAAAGCCAGGAAGAUUCUCUGCAUAUAUCUCAGCUUCCCUGGAGAGCAGUGGGGCUCUGGGUACCCAUACUCCACACACACAUAGAGGCACAGGGCUUGGCAUGAGAUAAAUAAUGGUCAUUGUGGUUGUGUGAUUCGGGCCAGUUAAAAAUGGGGACAAUAACCUUCCUCUGAGGGUGGUUGGGAGGAUUAGACUAGCUAAUGUACGUGAAUUGCUUAGAACAAUGGCAAGUAGAAAGCCCUACAGAAGCAUUUAUGAAAUACACAUAAGAAAACAACAGGCCCGGGUGCACAGGCGCUCACAAAGGCACACACAAACACACACAACUGCGCCUCCAAGUCAUGCACCACAACUUCAGACACGUGAACUCACACAGGGACUCAGACACUCACAAUCACACAGACCCAGAUGAACACCAUGCCCAGAGUCCCACAGAACCCUGCUCUGACACAUAGACUUACUCUCAGGACACCCACACCCAUCACCCUGUCUACCCCUCAGGCCGUCACACACCAAACUCCGGGGGUGGGGUUGGUGGUAGUUCUAUCCCCUGGCAUUCGUCAGUACUUGGAGUGUCUCUGCAGAGGGUGUUGAGCUCCUCUGAACCUCAGUUUCCC
rnacentral:lncRNA from 10 species